ensembl:lncRNA
UGUGAAAUUGGGUGAGUUCCUUCCUAUAGCUGCUUUUGUGAAUCCUUAAACAUAUAUUUCAGGAGUAAGAGAGCCAUGGAUGAGCAAAACCUUUAUAAAAAUGAAAAUUAUAGAAUUUUUUCCUUUCCUUUGUUUUGAGGGAGAGAUUAGAAAGCUACAUUAAGAAUUUUGUAAAAUGCACAUUUAAAAUUCUUAGGUAUCCCAAGAAUUAUCGAGUAACUGUAAAAUGACUUUUUCAGCAUAGUUUGCUUUCAAAGAUUAUACUCCAAUUGUAAUCACUGUAAAUUAGCACCCGGUAUUCCAAAAUAUAGUAUAUUCAUACCAAGUUAGUCCCCAUAGGCUAGUAAUCGCUACUAGUCUUUUUGGAACCGAUGGUCUCAUUAAUGUUCUCUUCUACUUGAAGGAUUACUGUUCUCUCUCAUGUGGUCGACAGAACCUGUGACGUUCCAGAAUUAAUUCUAAGAGGAUAUUGUGUGUCGAAUUUCAGGCACUGAUCAGAAGUAGUUAGUACAAUUUGUUUUUGAUUUGGAAAUUCAGAUGGACUCGAUUUAUUCAAGCGUGAAGGUGUCAAGAGUUUUAGAUCCAAGUUUCUCGCUCUAAAAAGAAGUCUUAGCUGUUCCCAUUCCUGAAUGACCCCAUGAGCAUUCUGUUCUCUGCUUCAUACCUUUAUCCGGGGCUCUGCUCUCUCAGCUUCCUCGUGACUUGAAACCUCUUCAGGGUCCUGGGCAUGUGUCAGGUGGGCUGCGUCCACCCCGUGUGUGAGAAGCACGUGGAUUAACACGAGGGGGACAGUGUUGCUGGGAGAUGCAUAUUUCUUGGUGUCUGUUGGGUGCACAUCAAGAACCCUGUACAUUUGAGUCAAUCCCAGAGCUUACCCUCCAGACACACACACACAUAGUCACCAUCAAAUGGCUUUUUCUGAAGUUACGGAGGACACUAACGUAGCAGGGAAUAGGAUGAGAGAAAAGAAGCGUAGGGUCAGGGUCGCACCAUGAGAACAGGGGCUGUAUCGAUACUGUGAAUGUUUCCUUUCCAAGCUGUUUAUCCAGAUCUGGUUUUUAAUGGUGUAGGAUAUUUAUGUCAAAGUAAAUGUCAUAACAUCAAUCUAGAUUAUACACCAAAUGCAAAACCUGCCCAUUUGUCAGUCACCUUAUUCCCUUACCUUUUCCACAUGCUGGAGUGUUCUGAGGGCUUUUGGUUUGGUUUCUGUUUUGUCUCGAUGAAAUCUUUGCAGAGUGGUGCUCUGAAAGCAGUUUCUCGCGAGCACUAAUGUUAAUGUACGUCUGUAUGUCCGGAACCAGCUGGUCACGUUGGUUUUAGUGAGCUGUCAACAAUUCUCUUGGAUUUGUUUAAGGACGAGCCUGUGUUCUUUGCGGAGGAAUGAAAUGGACCUUUAGGUGUGCGUGUAUGUUUUCAUGUAGCAUCAACAGAAGUACCCAUCUCAUCGUUCCAGUUGAAAACCUGCCGUGAGGAAGAAGAUUCAGACCGAGCACUUUAUUUAAAUCAGGUCUCAAGUUUAAGUUCACAAGCGGCCCUUGGUUCCUAGAGAGGGCUACCUGGCCUGCCGCUGCCAACCAGUCACAAGCUGGGUGCCUGUCCAGAUGUUUGAUUGUUUCGCUGGCCACACCUAUAGAAGAAUUUUGCAGAUUUUCUUCUCGAACAGAAAGGGAAAGAUUCAUUUACGCUGCUGCCACUCAAUUCCAAUGUUUUCUGAGUAACCAUCUCGGCUCUCUUGAAACCUGACAGUGUAAGUUGGUGGAUGUUCGAAGUCAGAACACUUAACCCCAUCAGAGGAAAAACAGGUCUCAGCGCCGGCCUAGACCCUGAGGCCAGGCCCUGCCUCUGCUGCCCCAAACCUGCGAAGGUGUGAUGACCAAAGCAGGUGGCAGAGGGACGCCAGCACCGCUAAUCCUGCGAAGCAAACUUAGGUUACACCUCUCUGGUUCCUUUUGGUGGCGGGGGGACAUUCCUACUUUCUGGAUGAGGACGCAUUUGAAAUACAACAAACUGCCCCAUUCACCCAGCUGCCAACUGGUCAGUGACGUGCCGUUUAUAACUUAGGCUUGUAGGGUUUUUUCCCCCCGAUAUCGUAUCAAAGCUACAUUUUUUUUUUUUUAAAGAAGAAAAUAAGAGGUUUUCCAGGUAUGUGGAGAGGUUUGGCUUGAUGACCAAGUGUGGUGACGACUUUACCCGACGAUGAUUGGAUCCCUGGGAAGCAUUUUAAAAACAGACUGCAGUCCUGCGCCAGCCCUGUGCAGUUGGGUUCAUGCGGGGAAGGUGUGGCUGGAACACGAACGGUCUUUGAAGGAAAUAAACGUGCCCAUGCAACACUA